CGAUGCUGUUUCUUUUCCUUUCUCACGCCGAUCAUAAACCCUAAUAGGCUAAUUCUUUUUUCUUUUUGAAUUGCUUUUCAUUGAUUCCCCCAAUUCGAUUCAAGUAUCAGAAAUCAAAUCUUCAUAUUUCAUUUCAAAAUAAGAUAUUCGCGUCAAGUUUUCACAUCUGAACCCUUUGAGAUACGAAGAGAAGGAUUGAUGGAACGAGCUAAAUCGAAAGACGGAUGUGCAGGUGUGGUUCAGAAAGGAGUUCCGGUGUACCACCGAAAAUACAAACAUAAAGCGUGCUCGGAAAUCUAUUUGAGAUUAUUUGCAACAGAUUGAAGCUAUAGUCCAAGAUAACAAUGCUCGAGGAACUAUUUCUAAUAUUGAAGAUCUGAAUGUUCGGAUAGAAAACCAGGUUAGUCAUCUAAAAUCCCUUUGACGCUCAAGAACUUCUCAAUGUCUCAAAGAAUAUCGUGAUUAAUGGUUGUGUGCUACAUUAGAUGGUUAUAUUGGACUUGGUGUGAGAUCAUCUUUAGAUCUCCGGGGUUUAUAAGGGAAUAUUUAGAGAUUUUUAAUUAUUUUAAAUGUAUGCGUAUUAAUUUUAAUUUCACUUUGUCAUUAGUUUAUGUAAUAUGUACCUUCUUGUACUUCAUGUGAAUACA